rnacentral:lncRNA from 1 species
CCCAUAUGAUCAAAACCCAACCCAAUCAUCGAAGAAAGUCAUUCACAAAACUAGAGAGAAAACAUGUUAAUAGAUAAUAUAAUAAAUAGGAAGAAAAGAAAUAAUGAAACCAAGGUACCAGUCCUUCACAUCCUGCAAAACAGAUGUCAUAAACACCUAGGGUGACAUCAAAAUAACACACAAUAGAAUGACAUCUAUCAUAUUAAAAGAUCUAUAAGUUACCAACACACUCACUUUUUAACCGAUUCUAGUCUCUAAACUCAUCAAAUCAGUCACCCAAUCCAGCAACAUUGAUCCUAAUUUUUAUGUUUUCAAAACCCAAAACCACAUGGUAAAUCAAUGUAUCCUCAAUAUUCAGAAAUUUUCUCUAUCUAUUUAUGCUCAGAAAUCUCAUACCUCGUUUUGUUUUUGAGACCUCUCCCUACACAAUCCACACCAAGCUUUCCAACCACCUGACACCUCCUCACUCGUUUCCCGGAUGAUCCCACCCUAGCCUUGCCGAAAUAGUUGUCGUUACACUCACGUUUUUCCCCACCUUCCCUC